rnacentral:misc_RNA from 1 species
AGUAACCUGCCUGUGUGAUCUUGGAUUUUAGUAAAGCCUUGGAGUUGAGUCUGAGAAAUGGAAGCAAGAAGUUGUCAUGGAUCAGUUGUUCAAAAUGCAAUUGUCGAAGGCCUUUUUUCUCAUGAUAAGCUUCGAGAAGCUGAAUAUUUUCUUGACCAGAUGAUAGAUAAAGGUCUAGUUCCUGAUGCAAUAAAUUACGAAAAUCUAAUUAAGCGGUUUUGUUUUCAUUCGGAAGACUGGAGUAAGGCAGUUGAUCUUCUGAACAUAAUGUUGAAGAAA